UCGUGCUGGAGCUGUUCUGG
rnacentral:miRNA from 1 species